UUUUGGAAAAACCAUUUGUGGUCUUACUGAAAAUAUGAAACCAGUACUUUGCGGCCUUAUCCUGCAUGGAUAAUAAUCAAUCAGAUUGCUGGUCACAUCUUCACAUAGGGAGAUUGGUGUUGCCACGGAAACAAGGAAUGAAAUUACAUGACAACUGCUGUGGCAAGACUGCUAGCCAUAGCUAGUGAUGCACAUUGGGAACUCAUGCAGUAGCAAGCAUGGAAUGCAUAUUGGUGAGGCUGCAGGGGAUUCAUUUGGUGACUAAUGCUGGCAAUAUAUUGACAGACCUGCUUGUUUGGCAAGGUCACCAAAUAAAUGAGAUCCAUAGCAAAUGAUUGGAUUAUACAGUGGGGCCUGUUAGACGAGGACCGCAUCAAUGCAUCACUCAUCCACUCGGUACUCCUACAGGGGAUUUCCUUACCUGGCUGAUUGAUAUCUGGUAAAAUUAUGGCCAGAUACUGUUCGGCAGGUCCACCAGUGGGCCUGAUACAUGGGCCAAAAGGCUGCUGACUUGGUCUGGCUGCUUUUAUGGGCCUGUAUAUGUACUAUUUUUAAUACUAUUUUCACUUAAGUAAUAAGAGCUUUAUCUACUGCUUAUAAGCAUUUCUGGUUCAGUCAUUCUCAUUGAUUUUAUUAAUUUUAACUAUUGCAUAUUAAAUAAGUCACUUUUUAGAUGAAUAUAUAUAAUUUAACUAUUUUAUCUUUUCAGUCUGAUCAUAUAUAGAUCAAAUAUUUAUUUUAUUGAUAUGAGUUGUAGCUAGCGACCGUUUGUUAGUAUGGUUUUUAUUCCAUGGAUAAUAGGUCUUUCUAGUGACUAAUAACAGAUUUUUUUUACUUGAUUGAUAAAAGAGCCUUCAAGUGACUAAAGCUGGCUAUAAACUGCCAGAUCUGGGCCUGAUUUGGUCACACACUAGGCGAAAUUGGGCUGAUCUGAGCAAUUGGAUCAAACAGACAGGCCUGUAUGAUCCGAUCAUAAAGAUGAAGACUGCAUCAGUGCGCCAAUGUGAUCCUCAUUGAACACAAAAAUCAAACCUGUCCACUUGAUAUCUGGAUGAUUUUCCGCCCUAUCAAGGCAGUGUCCUUGCGCCAGUCCUA